rnacentral:lncRNA from 1 species
UACUAUGGAUUCAUUUAUUUUCGUAGGUACCAAUUUUCGUGGUUUGAGGAAAACUUACAUAUUCGUGGAUAUUUAAUUUUGCGGUUAUGGCAAAGUCUACAUUUAUUCCUUUAGAAAAUUUGUAAUUCGUUGAACAUUUGAAUUCGUGGUUUUUCUGUCCCAAUGAAAUCCACGAAAAUUGGUAUCCAACGAAUAUUAAUGAAUCCACAGUA